GCUCUGUUAUCAGAAAAAAUAAGACUUGACAGUUUACAAUUCAAAUAUAAAAACAUUUAUUCGGAAGACUUGUGGUGUACAGUUUAUGGACCCAUUUAUUUACUAAGGCUAUGUGUUAAUUUGAAAAAAUUUCUAAGACCAAAGUUUGUGACCGAAGACAACCAGCUCUCUUCCAUUGCUGAUAGCAUAAAUGAUUUUUUCAAGUACCUAGAACAGCAACAUUCCAAAUAUUUUGCCAACGAUGACUACGAACCUGCAACUGAUACGAGCGAGACAGAAGUAUCGUUAACAUAAUCUAUUUUUCACAUCACUAAAAAUUCAUCCUCUCAAUUCUUAGUUUUCUUCCUAUUUUGUUAUAAACUAAAUUAUUUGAGCA